rnacentral:rRNA from 1 species
CCUACGGGCGGCAGCAGUGAGGAAUAUUGGUCAAUGGACGAGAGUCUGAACCAGCCAAGUAGCGUGAAGGAUGACUGCCCUAUGGGUUGUAAACUUCUUUUAUAUGGGAAUAAAAUGUUCCACGUGUGGGAUUUUGUAUGUACCAUAUGAAUAAGGAUCGGCUAACUCCGUGCCAGCAGCCGCGGUAAUACGGAGGAUCCGAGCGUUAUCCGGAUUUAUUGGGUUUAAAGGGAGCGUAGGUGGAUUGUUAAGUCAGUUGUGAAAGUUUGCGGCUCAACCGUAGAAUUGCAGUUGAAACUGGCAGUCUUGAGUACAGUAGAGGUGGGCGGAAUUCGUGGUGUAGCGGUGAAAUGCUUAGAUAUCACGAAGAACUCCGAUUGCGAAGGCAGUUCACUGGACUGCAACUGACACUGAGGCUCGAAAGUGUGGGUAUCAAACAGGAUUAGAUACCCUAGUAGUC